rnacentral:lncRNA from 1 species
CCACCCACAAGGCACCCAGGAGAGAAAGAGUCUGCUCCAGCCACAUCCUACAUUUACACUGCACAGAUUGUGAAGCCACUGAGACCACGUGCCUAGAGGUCUCGCUAUGCCCGUGCUCACGUCCCUUCUUCCACAGCGAACUGAAGAGAAAGAAGGAGCUGGCAGGCAGACCCAGCUGAACCGGUGAAGAGCGAAAGCCACCCCUGCUCCUUUUCCAUUCAAAGCUGCAGUUUAGACUCUGCCCAAACUGGGGCACAGGAAUGUGACGCCAGUGGACACUGGCGUUUGACCUGCACACUUUGCCCAGGAUCCCUGCCCCCGUGGAAUACGACAGAGUAGAGACUGACAUCGACCCUGGCAGGGAGUUUUUGGCUCAGCGUUUGUAUUCCUCCUUCAGACGUGUGUGCCCCAUCCCACGUCGUUUCCUUACCUGUGACUUCCUCAUUUGCAUUCUUAAUCUACAUCUUGCUACCUGUACCUGACACCCACCGGCUGAUCGUCUUCCCCGCCUUUACCGAGGGCACCGAUACCCCACUCACACCCCACUCCGACUGCCCGUGUGUCCCAUCUGUUUCGGAAACCCUGCCUCAACGCCGCAGUAAGGGACUCCAACCACUAAGUUCAACAUAGAAGCAACAAGACUGCAUCCUGUUAAUGUUCCAGAAUGGUGAGUUCUACUUUCAGCAACCUGGACUCCUUCUCUAAAUGGCCCAGUGAUACCCAGACAUGUCUCUCAAGGAGCAUGUAAUACCUGAACCAACCAAUAUGCUGC